rnacentral:rRNA from 1 species
AUUGAACGCUGGCGGCAGGCCUAACACAUGCAAGUCGAGCGGAUGAGUGGAGCUUGCUCCAUGAUUCAGCGGCGGACGGGUGAGUAAUGCCUAGGAAUCUGCCUGGUAGUGGGGGACAACGUUUCGAAAGGAACGCUAAUACCGCAUACGUCCUACGGGAGAAAGCAGGGGACCUUCGGGCCUUGCGCUAUCAGAUGAGCCUAGGUCGGAUUAGCGAGUUGGUGAGGUAAAGGCUCACCAAGGCGACGAUCCGUAACUGGUCUGAGAGGAUGAUCAGUCACACUGGAACUGAGACACGGUCCAGACUCCUACGGGAGGCAGCAGUGGGGAAUAUUGGACAAUGGGCGAAAGCCUGAUCCAGCCAUGCCGCGUGUGUGAAGAAGGUCUUCGGAUUGUAAAGCACUUUAAGUUGGGAGGAGGGGCAGUGAGCGAAUACCUUGCUGUUUUGACGUUACCGACAGAAUAAGCACCGGCUGACUCUGUGCCAGCCGCCGCAGUAACAC